GCGCGGCCAGUCAGCCCUGCGGUGCGGUGGGCAUUGCCAGAGCAGGGCGCCCCCUGCAGGGACGCACCCGGGGCGGGGGCCAGGCUGGGGCGAGCCCCCCUUGGUUCUGGAGAGGAAAUGACAUACAGUUUGUGAAAGCAUAAAUAUUCGUGAAAAUAAGAAAAUUCAGGAAGGAAACAAAGCUUAAGGCAGUGAUUGAUAGGUUAUUUCUUGGACACAGCUGAACGUAUACUGUGCGCCUGCAACUUUCCGGUGGUUUCGGACCGGACUUCAGUGAAGCCAGUGAAGUCGGUCGACUUGCAGAACUUCCUUUCAGAGGGGCGUACACAGCACCGCGGCCGUGUGCCUGUGAUCUCCUUCUGAGUUUGAAAAAGAAGAUCCUAGACACCGAGCCAAAUAUGUUUGCAUAAACCGGGAGACUUGUGGCUCUAUUUUGUAACAGCUUGGCGCAGGGCAGCUGGUUUGGAGAUGUCUCUGUUCUUCCCUUGGUGGGGGUGCCGGAAAAAAUGUGCUGCCUGGGCGAUCGAGGUUGGGGCAAAAGCGUUGCAAAGGAAAAGGUGGGAGGACUCUACUUUCACAUUUCCCAAAAGAGUUUUACCAUAAGACUAUUUCUGGAUUGUUCUAACGUGAGGAUAUUGGGAGCAUUUUGAAAAUACUGGAGGAAAAGCUGUCACUGGGCGAUUUAAAUCCGGAAGCUGGAAAGUCCAAGAUCAGGGAGUCAGCAUCUGGUGAAGGCCUUCUUGCUGUGUCAUCCCAUGGUGGAACAUGGAAGGGUAAGAGAGCACACGCAAGAGACAGCAAGAGCCAAAGGGGGCCACACUCAUUUUUCCAUUAGGAGCUCACUCCCAACUCCACGAUAAUGAACCCACUCCCACAAUCAUAGCAUUAAUCCAUUCAUGUGGGUGAAGCCCUCAUGACCUAUUCACCUCUCAAAGGUCCCACCUCUUAACACUGUUUCACUGGGGAUUAAGUUUCCAACAUAUGAACUUUGGAGAACAUAUUUAAGCCAUAGUAUCCCUCCAGACCCUCCUCUCCACCCUCCUCUGCCAUGCUUGGUGUCCUGAAAUGCUGACCUUUAUGAAUUGCAUCAUCCAGUCUACUUUGCCCUAGCUUCUGGUCAGGUUCAGCCAACGAAAGGCACUGGAGGCAGGGGCUAGAGGAGAAUGAGAUCAGAGUAUUUAUAUCCUGCUCUCUCCCUGCAAUGAAUUGGUAUUCCCAUAACAAAUUGGUAUUCCCAUAACAAAGGCUGCAACUCUUAUCAAGUGGCCGAUAUUCUAAACACACCUGCCCUUGCCCCCCUCAGAUCCAGGAGAGGUAAAGGCUUCCUGCUGUUGCUAGCUCUGUCAUGCUUCACCACCCCUUAACCUUGCCCACAUCCCUGCAAGCGGUCCUUCACUACAUGCUCCUGAGACACCCAGUUUGAGAUGCUGUUUACUUCCUGAUGGAACCUUGACCACACAGACAUCAUUGCUAUUUCCAUCCUAGCACACGUCCUCAGGCCACUGCACCUCCCCCAGGCAUCAUCAAUAAUUCUUCAUGUCCUCUUGAAGCACAUGUGACAUGGCAUUCCUGCUGCACAGCCACCUGUGGCAACAAGGAAGGGAGCAGCUCUCCCUGCUCAGCAUCACUCUGUUAGAGGAUUCUAAGGGGAUGAACUGCUUGUGCUCCAAUGUCUUCUAGGGUUUUUAGUGAAAUGGCUCCUUCUGUUUUACCUUCAUGAGGCUGGAGGAGGAGUCCUGAGUGGGGAGGUGCUGAGUUGGAAGGAGCCAAGAGCCAUGCUCUAGCAGAGAGGGCACUGCCUUGGGUACAGGUGCUGGGCCUGGGAGCUGACUCUGCCACUAAAAGGCCAUGAGACCAUGGACAAGUCACUCUCAUUUUCAGGCCUCCAUUUCCUCACCUGUAUCACGGGGGCCGGACUCAGCGAUUCUCAAGCUGCUCUGGGCCCCCAGCCUUACUUCUGCCAUAGCAGCUCCUGUUUGGUCUAUUUUAGAAUGUGAGCUUUUGUGAAAAUUUCCUUUAAGGAAUGGGUUCCACUGCUUUAAAAACACUUGGAAACAACUGGACUAGAAGAUCUAAGGUCCCUUCCAGCCCCUACAUUUUUGAGCAUAAAACCAAUCUUGUUUUUUUCACCAUUGUGCCAAGGAAGCACUGGUUCCAAGAAUUAAUGGAAAAUAGAUGAUUAAAGGCCCAUCUCCUGCCAGGCUCGCUGCCAUGGCAAAUCUACCAUGACUGGGUAAAAGGUUUUGCUUCACAUCCAUCCUCAGCACCUUCUCACUUCCUUCUCACUUGCUUCUGCCACUAUUCCUAAGCAAGCUAAAGAAAGGGAAAUUUUAAAUCCAUUGCAUAAAAUGCAAACCAGCCUAGUAAACAAAAAUGUGGAAAAGAUGGCAAGGGAUAAAUCAUGUGCCUUUUCAGCCUUUAUAAACAGACCUUGGGAGCUUUACAAAGGCUUGACUUAUGGCAAUGGAAGCUGGCAGCCCUCCGUAGUUCAUUCCAGAUGUUUGGUGCUAGAGAGAAUUACAGGGCAGUGGUUAAUAGUUUGGGCUCUGCGGUCAGAAAGAUAUGAGUUCAAUUCCUUGUGCUUCCAUUCACUAACUGGGUGAUCUUGGUUAGAUGUGCUGGACUGUAAAAUCAUCAUCAUCACCAUAUCUAUUUUAUUGAGUUAUCAUGAGGACUGGGAGUGAGUUAAUACAUGUACAAUGUUUAGCACAGUGCCUAGCACAUAGAAAAUACCCAAUAAAUUAGCUCUUUGAUGUUAUUGUUGUUAGAAUUACUACUCCCAUUGGCUUCCAGGAAGCUCAGAGAUCAGAGCUCAGUUGAAUAUUCAACUAAAAAAAUCCUCCGGCUGGGCAUGGUGGUUCAUGCCUGUAAUCCCAGCAUUUUGGGAGGCCAAGGCAGGCAGAUCACCUGAGGUUGGGAGAUUGAGACCAUCCUAGCUAACACGGUGAAACCCUGUCUCUACUAAAAAUACAAAAAAUUAGCUGGGUGUGGUGGCACAUGCCUACAAUCCCAGCUACUUGGGAGGCUGAGGCAGGAGAAUUGGUUAAACCCAGGAGGCGGAGGUUGCGGUAAGCUGAGAUCGCGCCACUGCACUCCAGCCUGGGCAACAAGAGUGAAACUCCAUCUCAAAUAAAUCAAUAAUAAAAAAAAAAAACUUCUAGGUACCAUUUGCUUCCUUUCCAUGUCCAUUUAUGGCAUCUUUUAAGAUAGUUGUUAUUUAUCGAGUGCUUAUUUUUGCCAGGACUUACAGGCACUACCCUACACCUAGCACAGUGCUUAGGGUAUUGGAAAUAACUCAAUAAAUUGUGGCAGAAUAAAUGAAUGAUCUUAUCCAAUGCUCCCAGCAACUCUAAGAAGUAGAUAUCAUUAUCUCAAUUAUAGUAGACUUUUUUUGUUAUUAUUGUUGACAUCUGAGACUACUUCCUGAUUGUGGGGAAUCUGCCCUUGUGUGAGGGUCUCAUCUUGGAUGCUGAGAAAGUGAAAAACUCCCCUGGACCUCUGGUAGCAGGAACACAGAUAUACAAACCAAGUACAGCUAAUCAGAUCCUCACCUGGGACUUUUUUUAAAUUUUAGUUUUUAUUUAUUUAUUUAUUUUGAGACGGAAUCUCGCUCUGUCACCCAGGCUGGAGUGCAGUGGUGCGAUCUCGGCUCACUGCAAGCUCUGCCUCCUGGGUUCACGCCAUUCUCCCGCCUCAGCCUCCUGAGUAACUGGGACUACAGGUGGCCGCCACCACCCCCGGCUAAUUUUUUGUAUUUUUAGUAAGACAGGGUUUCACCGUGUUAGCCAGGUUGGUCUCAAUCUCCUGACCUCAUUAUCUGCCCACCUCAGCCUCCCAAAGUGCUGGUAUUACAGGCUUGAGCCACCACGCCCGGCCACCUGGGACUUUGAAAUCUAGACUGGGCUGGGCAUGGUGGCUCACAUGUUUAAUUUCAGUACUUUGGGAGGCCGAGGUGGGUGGAUCAUUUGAGGUCAGGAGUUCGAGACCAGCCUGGCCAAUGUGGUGAAACCCUGUCUUUACUAAAAAUACAAAAAAAUUAGCUGGGUGUGGUGACGCGUGCCUGUAAUAUCAGCUACUCAGGAGGCUGAGACAGGAGAAUCGCUUGAACCCAGGAGGCGGAGGUUGCAGUGAGCCAAGAUCACACCAUUACACUCCAGCCUGGGCAACAAAAGUGAAACUCCAUCUUCAGAUGGAUAAAUAAAUAAAUAAAUAAAUAAAUAAAUCUAGACUGAACAAAGUAAUUGGAAUUCCUUCUGCGGUUGAUGGCAAAGCAUUGGUGGCACUGGGGCCAGUAGAGUAGUGUCCCAGGCCAAGUAGUGACCACAAUACCAGCAAAGGGCCCAGUGUUCAUCUACCUACAAUCCAUUUUGGAAGGAGGUAAGGUCUUGUAAAUAACAUCAUAUGGCAUUAAUUUGGCAAGAGUUUCUACAUCUUGCCAGCCCAUUACUUUACCAACAUUCCUUUUCCUUCUGUAGUUUGUGAGUUCCCUUGAAACUUAAUCAACCUCAAACUCUCUCAAGUGACUCCCCUCUCAGGAUGUUUGGCUUCCAUCCCCUCAGCAGCCCUUGUUGCCUCUAAGAAGAUAAAGCAAAACUUGUGCUGCAUCUCUUCCUCCCAUUCUUUUCCUACCCAUUUUAUGCACAAACCAUGCCAAUGCCAGGCAGUUGGCUGUCUUCUGUUGAAAACAAAAACCUUAGAGUGAGUCUUGUUGCCACAUAUGUGUGUGCUUGGGUUGAGGGCUGAUUCAUAAAUCUUCCUUAAGAAAAAAAGGCCUCUGGGCAAGCUGGCAAAGGCUGGCUUUCAUUUAUUUGUUUUUUGUCACCUCCUUGAUAUCUCCUGCCUUGCUCCAGAAAUGUGUUAGACCUCAUGGGGAACACUGACAAACGCACAUACAAAAUAAGGAAAAGAAUGAUGAAUUUCAAAUUAGGAUACCCGGGUUGGAAUGCUGGCUUGGUCACUAUCUGCAAAAACUUGGAAUGCUUGUCAAAUAGAGCACGCAGGGACCCUGAGCAACCAGGACUGUUGGCAUGACAAGCGGGCGAGCAGAGGAUGGGGGAGCCAGAAGAGAAGGUGCUGAAAGGAAGAGCUGAAAACAAGCUUGACCCAUCACUCAAAGUUGUCUAAUAGUCCUUGAAUCCAGAUGCCUCAUGGCCCUAGGAGGGCCAAACACACUCGGGGGUUGGAAAGGAAGCAUCACAGUGCUGGUGUCAGGAUACCUGAGUUCCAGCCUUGUCUUUGACAUUUAUGAGGUGUAUAAACUGGGAGGGUCACUUCAGCUCUCUGAGCCUUAGUUUUGUGUACUGUAAAGUGGGAGAAAUAAUACAUCCCUCACAAAGGCAUAAAUAGGCCAGGUGCGGUGGCUCACGCCUGUAAUCCCAGCACUUUGGGAGGCCAAAGCGGGUGGAUAACCUGAGGUCAGGAGCUCGAGACCAGCCUGGCCAACAUGGUGAAACCCCAUCUCUACUAAAAAUACAAAACCCCCAUCUCUACUAAAAAUACAAAAAUUAUCCAAGUGUGGUGACAGGCACCUGUAAUCCCAGCUACUUGGGAGGCUGACUACUCAGGAGAAUUGCUUGAACCUGGGAGGCGGAGGUUGCAGUGAGCCGAGAUCAUGCCACUGUACUCCAGCCUGGGUGACAGAGUAAGACUCCAUCUCAAAACAAACAAACAAACAAAAACAAGACAAAGGCAUAAACAAUAAACAAGAGAUUGAUUUUUUUGGUAACAGCUUUAUUGCAAUAUAAUUCAAGUACCAUAAAAUUCACCACCCCCGCUUUUUUUCGAAACAGGGUCUCACUCUGCUGUCACCCAGGCUGGAGUGCAGUGGCAUGAUCACUGCUCACUUCAGCCUCGACCUCCUAGGUUCAAGCGAUCCGCCCACCUUUGUCUCCCAAGUAGCUAGGACUAUAGGUGCACACCACCACACCCAGCUAAUUAUAAAAUUUUGUUGUGGAGACGGGCUCUCAUCACGUUGCCCACGCUGAUCACGAACCCCUGAGCUCAAACAAUCUUCCUGCCUCGGCCUUCCAAAGUGCUGGGAUUAUAGACAUGAGCCACCACACUGGGCCAAAAUUCACCCUUUUAAAGUAUGCAGUUCUGUUUUUUAGUGUAUUCACAGAGUUGUGCAACCAUCACCACUAUUUCAUAGUAGAACAUUUUUAUAACUCCUAAUGGAACCAAUACUGUUAUCAAUCACUCUCUAUCCUCCCUCCUGAGAGAUCGACUUUAAACUAUUUGGUGCUGUACCCAUUUUGCUUUGUAUAGAUAACAGUUGAUCAUUGCUACACAAUAGUCAGUAGUCUGCUCAUAAGUAAUAUCACAAUUAUUCUUCAGACUUAGUAAGAGCUGGCUUGAGAACUGUGUCAGGAGUAAGUUCGGCAGGGGAAUGGUAGAGAUGAAGAGGCUUAAAGAACAGUUUGUUUCUCUCUCAUAGAAUAAUCCAGGUAGCUCCAGGUAGCUCACAGCUCCAUCUUCCCUAGGGCACGAGCAACUUUCUCAGGAUACAAAAUGUCAGCUAGAGCUCCAGCUGUUAUAUCCUUGUUCCAGACAGCAGGAUGAAGACAGAGAUGAAGAUUGCAUGCCAUUGGCUUUUAAGGAAAGGUCUCAGAAGUUGCCACAAACACUUCUACUAACUUUUUUUUUUUUUGAGAUGGGGUCUUACCCUGUCACCUAGGCUGGAGUGCAGUGGCACGAUCUUGGCUCACUGUAACCUUCGCCUCCUGGGGUCAAGCAAUUCUCCUGCCUCAACCUCCCGAGUGUCUGGGAUUAUAGGCGCCCGCCACUACACCUGGCUAACUUUUUUUGUAUUUUUAGUACAGAUGGGGUUUCACCACGUUGGCCAGGCUGGUUUCAAACUCCUGACCUCAAAUGAUCCGCCUGCCUAAGCUUCCCAAAGUGUUAGGAUUACAGGCGUGAGCCACCAUGCCCAACCACUUCUACUAACAUCUAAUUGACCAGAACUCACUAGUAUGAUCAUAUCUAGCUGUAAGAAAGGCUGGGAAAUUUAGCCUUAUUCCAAAGAGCCAGUUAAAAAUUGGGGUUUGCAUUAUUAUGAAAGAAAAGACCAGGUAUUUGGUAGAUGUAUCAGUCAGCAAAUGCUAUAAUAAUUCUGCAUAACAAACCAUGAGCAUACAACAAUGAGCUUUUGUUUUCCUUGCCCUCAGGGCUGUGGGUUGGCUGGGAGGCUCUGCAUCAGGCUACAGGGCUGCCGGGCUUGGUGGAGGUAUACUGCACUCACACUAAUGGAGGGCACUGCAAAAUCACAUAACAAAGGGUAUGAGUGUAAAAUUCUAACACCAGAAGCGUCUGCAGAAUGAUAAACAAUGAUUCAUUUAUACAGAGGACAACCAAGAUUGCCAGGAAAUUCAAUGUCUGCAGUCUUGGUCCCCGGAGACCUCCCAGGAACCUGCUGCUGCUGCUGUCCUACAAUUCAGCUCCCAGUGUAGCUUCCAGUUCUGAUGAUCCCACUUCCCCGGUUACAGAUUAAGCUAGUCCAGCCUCUCACAUGAGCUUUUUAGGCCACAGUCCCUAGUUUCAGCCUAACCAGACACCUGCAGCCUUUUCUCUAAGGUUUUGCCAAGACAAACAGAGUAGUUCAGGAUGCCUCUAAGGGAGAAGGAAAGUGGGAAAAAUCAUUUGGGAAAAAUUCAGAGUGCAGAAGCAGCCUGCCUGAAAAGUUGCUGGAACAGACAAAAAUAAAACAACCUGGGGAAAAUAAAACAAAACAAAACUCAGGCUGGACCUGGACAGAUAAACAAACAGGAUCCCGCACAGGAGUUCUUUAUUCUUUGUCUAAUUAGCAAGCUCCCAGGAAAAAAUUUUCUCCCUUUUUCAGUCAGAUACAUGGUGAGAACUUGCACACGGAGGAGGGGGGAUUACCUAAAACAAACUCACAGUAUACAAACAAGAGAAGCUGUGCUUUGUGCUUACCUAAAAACAUACCCACAGCUGCAUGAGAUAAGGGGCGUCGCACAGACAGCCUUACUGAUAAGAGAAGUUACUCAAACUGCUACAGAGAUGAGAGGGGUUUCUCAGCUGUAACCUGGCAAUCCACUCUGACUCCUCUCUCUGCUGCAGAGAGCUUUAUUUCUUUCACUUAUUAAACUUUCCCUCCAACACCAUGUUUGUGUCUGCGUUCCUAAUUUUCUUGGACAUAGGACAAAGGACCUGGGGUACCAGUUAAGACAAAGAGAAACUGCUACAUUAAGGUGGGUUGGUGAGACUGCAACACCUCUAUGUAGGGCCAGAAGCCAUUUUCCUCUGCCCCACUUCCCCGGGGGCCAGCCAGAGUCAGACCCAUUUUUCCCGUUCAAAUUCCCCAAACACAAAAGCUUCAUCAUGCCAUUUUCUAUUACAAUUGGGCUUGAAGGUACAUCUACAAGAGAGUGAAAGCCCAGGCAACUUGUCCCUUGAGUUACAAAGAAUUCCGUUUAUCUUUCCUGGGGUAAGACUAAGUCUACAGCAGUAAAAAUUCAGCACUCAGAUUGGUUUUCAAAGGCUGACCUUUCCAUUAUUUACAUUCUUAAUGAAUCAUCCUGCUUAAUUGUAAUCAGUGGAGCUUAAGGCAAAUUUCCAAAAGGUUUGGUCAAACUUUUGGUGUAAAUAAUCUCAGUGUAUCUAUUUCAACUUUACUUAGUCCGCUUCCAUUAGUAACAUGAAGAAGCAUUUUCUUGGGUACAACCCAAAGUUAGCACCAAUUAUGAAAUCUAUUGGUUAGUUCAGCAAAUUAAACAGUUACUUUUGUUGUUGUUUUUUGAGACAGGGUUUUGUUCUGUAGCCCAGGCUAGAGAGCAGUGGUGCCAUCUCAGCUCACUGCAACCUCUGCCUCCUGAGCUCAAGUGAUCUUCCCACCUCAGCCUUCCUAGUAGCAGGGACCAUAGGCACCUGCCACCAUGCCCCGCUAAUUUUUUUUUUUAUUUAUUUUUUGUAGAGAUGGGGUUUCUCCAUGUUGCCCAGGCUGGUCUCAAACUCCUGGCCUCAAGUGAUUCACCCGCUUCAGCCUCCUAAAGUGUUGGGAUUACAAGCAUAAGCCACUGCACCCAGCCAAAAUGGUUACUUUCAGUAACAGCUGUG
rnacentral:lncRNA from 1 species